rnacentral:tRNA from 1 species
CAAAACGUAGCUUAAACACUAAAGCACCUGGCU